GGGAUUUUCAUGUAGAUCCAGUAACUGCUGUCCUACAGUUGUGACAGGAAUUCGAUCUUUCACUCUUCUGUGAAAUGCAACCGCUACCCCAGUGCUCAAUGUGCUCUGGACACCCCAUACUGGAGACCGGUUUGCUGCAGUGUUUGAUGAGAAGCCCCACUGAAGUCAAUUAAGAGACUUGUGCUUUAACCUAAAGGAAGGUCUGAUCAACUCCAAACGGAAAACAAAGAGAAAUUAAAACAAGAUUCUUUACCAGCAGAGAAGUACAAAAUGGGUACACUGGCUACCAGAGGAUGGAAGAGCAGAGAUGCCCCUCAAAAGCAGGCAAAAUUGCUGCCCUAAAUCACUGAGAUCAGGAAGUCUUUCUGGGAAAUUGCUGCUGUGUGUUUGUUCAUUUGGUCUCCUCUAGGAACGUGCUGUUGCCUGCUGCUGGAGGCAGAGUGCUGGGCUGCACCUGGCAAGGAGAGACGCAGGGUUAAACUUUGAUUCGUUCUCUCACAGGUAGUGCAACUCCCUUCCUUCCAGGUUAGUCAUCUAAAGCAGGCAAGCAGCACUUUUAUGCUAUUUUUCACAACUUGUCACCCUAAUGAGUUUCUGCAGGCGAGCCCAGCCUGGCAAGCAGGACCCUGGAGUCAGCAGUGGAUGAAGGUAUUCAGAAAGUCUGACCCAGAAAAAUGGCAGCUGAUCCACGCAGUCAUUUGCAUGGCUCUGCUCGUGGAAGGUUUUGGCUGCCUGAGGAUUUGUGCAGCUCCAUCUACAAGGGGAAGCAGAGAAACAGCACUGUCGUGACAGCAGUGACCAGCCCCAGUCUCCCAAGCCCCUGCGACUCACAUCUACAGCAAAGGGCUGAUGCAGCCAGAAGCACCUGCAGCAGCAACUUGUGCAUCGCACGAUGUCAAGCCUGCCUCCCUGAACCAGCCAGGAGCAGAGUCCGUCCCCAGCAGGAGGGAGCAGGGACCUAAGGAGAAGAAACGAGUGACUCGGGUUCCCGUCACCCAGUGGCACCUCCUUUAAAUGACUCAGGCUUUUUGGGGGCCACAAGAGAUCUCUUCCAUCCACAUAUGGAAGUUUCUGCAAGUGGUGGUACCCUGAAAAUGGAUACGACCACCCACAGCAGCUCCCAAAAUUAAUCCCUCUGUGAGCAACUACAGCUUUUCUUUAAGAAAACUGCCUUGUGAUCAGCAGCAGAGACUGUAGUACCACAGUCAUAGGCAAGAUGCUUCAGCAGUUCAUUGCCUCACUCAAAAUAGGCCUUAUUUGUUGCCUGAGUUCCCCUUGCUUCAUUUCCGCCUAGAUAUAUCUUUGCUUGUUGUAGUGAGAGCCCUGUUCUCUGAGAUUUAUCCCCCAGAUAUGGUACUAGACAGAGAUCAGCUUCAUUCCUUAACUCUCUUACUGACUGAGGUGUUGGAGGCUCCAAGUGUAGGAUAAUUUUUCAUCCCAUGACGAUACCUCUGAAGCUCUUCUUUUAACAAUUUGUGCCAUUCAUUUUGAACCUUGAACAUCAAAUGGGAUCCUGUAAUAUAACUUCUACCUGAAAUACCUGUUCCUACGGCAAGUGUGUGGAGUUACCCAGUACUGCAAAGGAAGCUCCAGUAUUUUCAAACUUUUACUGACAGUUCCAGUAAUUAAAAAAUCAUAAAUAUGUAUCAAAAGCAUGCCUGUCCAGCAAACAUCAUCCAUUACCUGGCCCUGCAGCUGCUGGUUCCCACUUCACUGAGAAGGUGGGAUUUUCCUCUGCCUGUCAGGGGCAGCUGUCUUCAUACUCAACCAUUUCCCAUGGUCUUGGUACCAUUACAAAUUUUAGCAGGCUAGAAUCUAUCUUUAGCUCUCCAGCUUAAAUGGAG